GAGUUUGAUCGUGGCUCAGAUUGAACGCUGGCGGCAUGCCCUACACAUGCAAGUCGAACGGCAGCACGGGAGCUUGCUCCUGGUGGCGAGUGGCGAACGGGUGAGUAAUGCAUCGGAACGUAUCCUGGAGUGGGGGAUAACGUAGCGAAAGUUACGCUAAUACCGCAUAUUCUGUGAGCAGGAAAGCGGGGGACCUUCGGGCCUCGCGCUCUUGGAGCGGCCGAUGUCGGAUUAGCUAGUUGGUGAGGUAAAGGCCCACCAAGGCGACAAUCCGUAGCAGGUCUGAGAGGAUGAUCUGCCACACUGGAACUGAGACACGGUCCAGACUCCUACGGGAGGCAGCAGUGGGGAAUUUUGGACAAUGGGGGCAACCCUGAUCCAGCCAUGCCGCGUGAGUGAAGAAGGCC
rnacentral:rRNA from 1 species